AGAGAGGAUGAAUCAGUAACACACUUAAAAAUUCAACCGCUGAGUCCUAGGGGGAGCAAAAGCCAUCAUCCUGGGGAAACGCUUCAUAUAUUUUCCUGGCGAGAAAAACCCUGGGGCUGAAAACGCGACCCCGGCCCCAGAACCCGGGAUCCCCGAGCCGGGAGCUCGGAAAAAGGAGGGAUCCGAGCUGCUGGGGCAGCGCCGACCCUCCCGGGCACUGCCUCCCGCUCCUCCCGGGUCUCCCCGCCGCCCCUCGAGGCAGCAUCCUGGCAGCACCCACUUGAGACGGCUCGGCGGCCGGCGCCCAGCUACCAGCCCCGCGACAUUGUCACGGCCGCCGGGCCGGCCUGCGACGCAGAGAGGAGGCGGCGCUGCAGCGAGAGCCGGGGCCGCGCUCGGCUCCAGCCCGCCCGCCAGCUGAUCCCGGGAGCGCCGGGCGGAGACUGACCCGCCGCCCCUCCCCCGCGCGCGCUCCCGCCCGGCUCCAUCCACCCAACCAGGAAGUGAACCGCCGCCGGAAGUGCCGCUUGGGGCGGCGCGGCAAGGGACCGGGGCCUCUCCUGCAACCGCCGCUCUGUCGCCACAGAUGGGAAGGAGUAGACGGCGAGAAGAGGACCGGGCGAAGGGGGUCUCAGUGCAGACAGAGUUCUGGAAAAGACUGUUGAUAUCACCCGAGCCGCAGGGCAAGCUGGGAAAGGUAGCUAGGCGCAGUCCGGCGACUGGACUACAAAUCCCAGCAUGCUCCUGGAGGAGCGGGCGAGGCGCAGCCGUGGCCUCCACGGCCUGGAAGGAGGUCACUCGUCAGCAAAAAUACAUAGUGUGUCUGCUUUAGGUAAAGUAACUGACCAGGUUCAAAGAUGCUUUGAUAUGAACCAAAUCACUGACCCUCGCAAAACAUGUUGCUUUAAGAAAUUGCCUUCGUAUGAGAGAAAUCCCUAUAGAAGCAUCUUAAGUUCCUUAAAUUUUUUCCUCUCAAUAAACCCAAUAGUAAUUGUAUCCUCCUGACAGUCUUCAGAGGGCAACGGAAAUGACUUUAGAGUUAGAAAUUAAAAUGAGGAAAGGAUACAAAUUAUUUACAGGAUAAGACUUUAUGUGCAAAAUGCAUCUAUAAAGUUUACUUCCUGGAAGUCUGACCUGUUCGCUUAGCCUCUCUAUUCUUCCUCCAUUUCCUCUUUCCAUUCCCACCUUUCUUCUUAGUGCCAAUAUUUUCCUCAAACAAAGGCUUUUCUCAUUAACUGCCGGCAUUGCUUUGCCUCCAGCCCUCUGCGUCUGUGUUCUCUUUGGUCAUUGUUUUCUAUCAGCAGAAGCACAGAGACUCUGUCUUCUAAGUAUUCAAGGCAUUCCUGACUUCUCAAGAUGAUCUUCACAAGUCACUGAAUGUAACAUCAAGAACUUUUGCACAUUUCAG
rnacentral:lncRNA from 1 species